rnacentral:lncRNA from 1 species
AGAGAAGGGUGACUAUUGGGUCCACAUCUUAUUGGGCUGCCUGCCAGAUGCAUGCCGGGAUUCAUGGACUAACCAUUCCAUCACAGCACUAUUGUCUGUGAAGCAAAACACAUUUACAACAAACUGCAUCAGCUUCUUCGGAGUGACUGAAUUAGCUGAUCUCCAGAAAUUCUUCACUACCAGUUGAAAAAGAGGGUUAAUACUCACCAAAAUGGUGAUCAUGAAAAAUUAAACUCUACCUCAUUAAAGUCCUUUCCAUC